UUUAAUUCCUAAAAACAUCCCAUUUGGAGCUCCAACUCUCUCUCCUUCUGCUAUGGAAGUGGCAGUAGCUGCACAGAACUCAAGGAUUUUCAACCUGGAUCAGUGGUUUGCAAUCCUUUCUCUGCCCCAGCACACCUGUGAAAUACAACACGUUUCCGCAACCUACAGAAUGGGAGAACAUUUUUGCCAUCUACCCAUCUGACAAAGGGCUAAUAUCCAGAAUCUACAAGGAACUUAAACAAAUUUACAAGAAAAAAACAAACAAACCCAUCAAAAAGUGGGAGAAGGAUAUGAGCAAACACUUCUCAAAAGAAGACUUUU